UACGAAGGGGGCUAGCGUUGUUCGGAAUCACUGGGCGUAAAGCGCACGUAGGCGGAUCUUUAAGUCAGGGGUGAAAUCCCGAGGCUCAACCUCGGAACUGCCUUUGAUACUGGGGAUCUCGAGUCCGGGAGAGGUGAGUGGAACUGCGAGUGUAGAGGUGAAAUUCGUAGAUAUUCGCAAGAACACCAGUGGCGAAGGCGGCUCACUGGUCCGGUUCUGACGCUGAGGCGCGAAAGCGUGGGGAGCAAACAGG
rnacentral:rRNA from 1 species